AUUCUAUUUUCUCAAAACCGUGAUGCUUCUGCAACCCGAAAUUCCCAUAAAUGGCGAAUAAAUAAUUCAGCAGGCAAAUAGCAAUAAUCGGAACAAAUACGUCCGCUUUAAAAUGCCAUUAAAUUUACAUUUCGACUCUCCGUACAAUAUUCUAACGAACGUAACAAUGCAAAUAUUGCAACGAUUCGGAACGUGCCGCUUGUAUUUUCGUUAACAUAAUUUCCGCGAGGCGCAGAUCUUUCAAGGUUUUAUCGUGCAGCGUAAUUUAUCACGAAAAUGCCACUAUGAAAUAUUUAUAUUUUAGCAAGCUAAAACUGCGAGUCAGUUGUUUUCCUCGCUUCUGUCUUCACCCUCGUUGAUGAAUUAUUAAUGAUGUGUGCGUUUUUAAUUAAUUUUAAUCCGAUCGAACGAAGGCGAAUCGAUAACGAUAAUUUACGAAGGUUAUAAAAGGGACUCGUAGGCGAAUUGUUUUUCAAUUCGCCGAUACGAAUUAAUCGAAUCAAUUAUAGUCGGGCUGCGGGUAGAAUUUUACCUGUAUAUGUUUAAUUUGUUUAAUUCAUCGUCGAACAAACGCCGGAAUGCAAAGUGUAAUGGGACAAACAGGGUCGCUAUAAUUUCACAAAAACGGGUCUGUUCCAUAGAAAAUUUAUUAAAAGGAUUUUCAUAUUUUACAAGGUAAAACUGAUAAUCUUAACAUACUGGGUGCAAUUUCGAUUGUUCGAAAUGAUCGCAACGGAAGGCAAUUAGCAAUUUACCAAAUGUACGCGUCGUUUGUUUCAUUCAACUGUUUCUUCUGUACGUUGAAUAGAUCUACGAGUUCUUUUACGAAAAACAGGUUAUUUGUAUCGAUCGUAGUAUCUCAAUUUUCUCGAUGAAAUGAAUUUCACAAUUGGAAAAAGAAAAAUAAAGUAUAAGAUUGAUUUUGCAAGAAGUAAUUUUUGCAGCAGGUUAUUCCAAUUUCUUCGAAGAAAUACACUCGACAAAUAAAUCUGUCAUUUGAUAAAAUGGGACGAGAAGGCAGACCGGUUGUUUCAACAACUUCCACAAUUAAAUAAUUCCUUUAAUGAAAUAAAUUCGUCAAUGUGAAAAAAAGGGAGAAACAAAAAGACAGGUUAAUGAUUUUGGUAACUUCCACAAUUGACUUUGCCACAUAUUAUUUCAAUUUCUGUAACGAGAUAAAUUCGUCAAUCUUAAACAAGAAGCAACGAAAAGUCUGACUAACGAUUUUAACAACUUCUACAAUUGAUUUUGCAGGAUAUAUUAUCGCAAUCUCUUCAAUGAAAUAAAUUCGCCAAUCUAAAGAGAGCGAGAGAACAAAGGGACAGGCGAAUUACUAUUUUACCAAUUUUCACAAUUGAUCAAUUUCUUCGAUGAAAUAAACUCGUCAACAUAAAAAAGGAAAGUAGCAAAAGGACAAAUCGGUUAUUUCAACAACUUCCGCAAUUCCCCUCGGUUACCAAACGUGACUGUACGCUAAUUCCCAUCGUCUGAAGGCCUGGCUGCCCUUCAGAAUGCUUCCAGGAGGAUCCUCCAGGAGUUCCCUAGCUAAACGAGCGUCGCAGGACGAAUAGGGGGCUCUCUAAAUGAGUAGGAAAAGGGCCGCGGGAGAAAAAGAAAAGACGAGCAUCGCGACGUCGAGUGUCCGGACAAAUUGGUCGGCCGUGAAGAAAAGACGAGGAAGUAGGCGAACAACGAAGGAGGAAAAGAAAAGGGAAAGGAAGAAAGAAAGAGGCGGGUCCCUUGUUGGAUAAAAGGAGAAUAGGAUGCCUUUCUGCUCGAUGAAGCUAAUCAAUCCCGAGUGGCCGUAGUUCGCUGAGGACGUACGACAUUCGUCAGGUGCUCGUGCACGCAUUUAAUCCGUUCGAGUUCGCGUAGAAUUGAAGGAAGUAGCAACGAUGAAAGGACGGAAAGAAAAAGUUUGAAACGUCGUCGACAGAGAGACGACGAAGAAAGUUUGCUCGGAGUUUAAUGAGAUUCGUGGACAAUUUAAUUGAAAGUAAUACGGGCGAGGCAAAUAGAAUGAGGAGAUACUCGCCCUUUUCUCGUUCUCCGGAUGGCGGAAGAAAUGGAUUGAACAGAACGGCGGGAUAUUCGUGUUUUCUGUUAAUUAAACUACAUAAUAACUGGAAGCACGGGACAAAGGGAAUUCUGUUUAACUUCGAGGAAACAGACGUUCUUUAGCCUCCUUUUAUGUAUGUAGGACAGUUUUUGUUCUUCUUCUUUGAGAUCGUUGAAAGGAUCGAGGAAAUAGGAAGAUGAAGGAGGAAGACGGGUUAUUCGUUUCGCGAAGCAAUUCGUUCAUAACAGUGAGUUUUCAUCGAUAAGGUUGACAAGAAAACCUUUGGUACGAUACUUGUGCAGACGAGUUUGGUCAGAUGCGGAAAGAUUACAGAAAUAGGUGUUACAGGAAAGAAAAUUAUUGUUACAGGAAGGAUAACUCUUUGGAAGAAUCUUUUUUUAAUCGAGUGUAGCUGAACGAUAGUUAGUAUAAUAUAGUUAAAGUUAUGCAUGUAUUUAAGAGUUCAUUUGAUACGGUAACACGUUCAUAAUUAUGAAACCGUCCAGCAAAUUUUUUGAAUGUACUUCAAAUCAACAUAAUCACGAUGGUCGUGCUUCGUUGUAGCGUUGACGAAGUUUUAAAGAGUUCUCGUAACUUAAUAAUUUCUUCUUUCAUAAGAACAAAACUUUGUAAUCAAUACUGGUCCUUUAUCUCGCACGUAAACGAAAAUAAGAAAAAUCUAGUUAAACGAUAGAGUUAAAAGAAUAUGUAGCUAAAAAUCUAAAAAUGUCGCAGGCCGAAGGUCGAGAUUAAAAAUUCCACGGAACAUCGAACAAAGAGAUUACCGAAUUCUGAGCUGAUACCCAGAGAUGCUUUUUACCAGGGGGGGAGGGGGGGUGGAAAAGAAGUCGUUGCACCGGAUGACACUUGACCUUAAUAAGCCUUCGAGCGUCUCGAAUUCGAGUCAAGCCGCGUCGUGCUCCUUUCUUCUCUUUCUCUUGCACCUUGUUCCACCACAGCUUGGUUUUGCCCGGUCACUCGUUCGAUGGCCAAUAAAAGCUUCGACCGACUUCGAUGGCCGCAUUGUUUCAAGUUUGGUCUUGAUACGUGGGGGUGGUCAGCGCACGAGAUCGACGAGGCAGACAAGGAACGAAAGCGACGAAAACACGAUCGAGGCCUGAUUCCUCUCUAUCGGUGAACCGUAAUUACGUGGAAAUAACUAUGUAAGCAGAGACCAUCCCACCCAGGUACGUGACGAUACAUUGAACGAUGAAAAUGCUGCACCGAGAGAUUUUCGAGCGUGAUAAAAUUUGACGAAGUAUGAGAGUGUUUGGCCGAGUUUGAAGCAAAGGAGUGAUCAGAUAGGAUGAUGAAAAUUUGGGGGAUUUUCGGUACAAAAAUACCGAGAAAUUUUGGAGCGUGAUAAUGUUUGACGAAGUAUGAGAAUUUCUGAUAAAGCUUGAAAUAGUAAAUGACGAGUGAAACGAUAAAAACUUUCGCGUGCAAUUUGUGAUUUUAAUCCAUUGUAUACGAGCUGCCAUUUCUGCAUGUUUGUAUUUGGCGCAAGAACUUGUCCUAUUUAUAUAUUUUCCACUCUAUACAUAUAUACGGAUUAAUGAUGAAUACACUGUGGAUGUUCAUGUAUUCAUGGUAGAUUUAAAAGUACAAAAAUGCACACUAUCUACAAAAUAUGCAGUCAUAUAAAAAUAUUCAAAAUACUAUUGUAAUGUAUAAUUAACAGUGUUUUAUGCAAUCUCUGGUUAAUGCAAAUAUCUUCUUUCUUGCACAAUUAUCAUUGCAAUCAGCUCUCAAUAAUUCCCCAUCAAUUUUUUUAGGUUCAUCCCAUCCUCCUAAUACUUAUGAAGCAAUUUACAUGAAGUUAUUGACAACGAGGAGGUGUAUUUGGAUACUUGUACCUCCCAGACAGGAUAUAAUUUAAUCAGAAAAUUACGCUGGUCGUUGACCUACGGAUUGGGCCGGUCUUGAUCUCUGGUCCCGCGAGCAGAAUGAAGAACCGGUUCGAUUCACCGGUGCAACAUAUUUAUCGGUUGUUCAGCGUGGCCGAUUCGAGGGGUUUCGACGCGGAUGAGCACAUCGUCCCGGAGCAGCACGCUUCGACUAGUCGCGCCUAAACGCGUGCACACCCGGAACGAAUUAAAGGCCGACUCUUUUUCUGGCCGAACAAACCGCUCGCGUUCGUUUUGCUCGAUUGAACGCUCGUUUAACGCUCGAUCGGACGGUCUUGUCUCCGUUUCUCCCUCGAAAACCCGAGGUUCUCACUGAUUCAACCGUUUAUGUCCUCACGGUGCGAUACUUUUUAUAUGUAUUGGUUUAUACCAAUACAUGGUCGUAAAUAAAAGUAAGGAAUUAGUAGAUUUAAUUGAUAGAUUUGUUGAAAAUUUGGCCCGGAAUACUCUAUUGAUAGGGAUACAGUCAUUUAUGCGACACAUUAUUUAUUUGCAUUAACUCUUUUACAUUAUUGCAAAGAUGUUUAUAAAAUUGUCACGAUGUGGAUGAAACUAAGGAAUUGGUAGGUUUAAUUGGUAGAUCUAUUGAAAGUUUGCUUCGAAACACUGCAUUCAUAGCGUUAGAGUCAUCCAAAUGGAAUAUGUUUUGUUUAUUCUAGUUCUUUCACGUUAUUGCAAAUAUAUAGAAUAUUCUUCAAACAAAACUUCUCAACGGUGCAACUAUCAGAGUGGUAAAAAUGAUUAACUGAUAGUAUUUCAUAGAGUUUUAUGACCUUUUUACAAAACAAAAAACUUAUCUGAAUUCCAUUGAUCUUAACGAAGUUUUAAGUAGCGCUUGAUUCAAUAAACUCCUGAUCGAAUCCACUUAUUUGAACUUGUAUUAUAUGUAUAAAUGAAAAAUAAAUAGCGAGGAGAACCAGUAAAUUUCCAUUAAGUGUGUAUACUUAUGCAUAUGAAUCGUUUGUCCCUUAAUAGGACCAUACAAAUGGAAUUCUACCGUAUAUCAUGAUAUACGGUACACGGGACAGAGAAAGACGUAUUAAAAUUGCAAAACAAAUAGCUCCAUGGUCUCUCCAAGUAACCUUCUUUAUGAAAACUUCUCCUGUAUCUAACUUAUACGCAUAUAUCAUAACAUAUAUUAUAAUAUUAUACUUUAUAUUAUAUUAUAUAUACUAUAUUAUUAUACUGUUAUACUAUACUUUACUUUAUAUUUUAUAUAUUUUGUAUUAUAUAUACUAUAACAUUAUAUUAUAUUAUAAUAUCUUCUAAAGUUACAUCAGAACCGGUAGAGUAAUAGACGGAAGAAAAGGAAAGAGGAAAAGAAGAUGAUAAAAGGAAACAGAGAACAAAUAUUGCAAUACUGAACUGCAUGAAACCUCCUAUAUGCAACGCAUACAAAUUUUAUGAAAACUAAUAGAACAGUAAGAGAAAGGACCGGAGAAGCAAUAAAAACAAUAUUACAGAAAAAAGUGGUAAAAGAAGUAAGCAGAAAAAAAGAGGAUUUUCCAUGACAUUUCUGCGGUAUCGUUUGUAAACUCGUUUCCCGUUUUGCUGUUCCCAAGGACGCCGACGUUUCUCAGACAAAACAAUUCGAACCGAUAAUUAGCGUCAUUAGCGAAACGUCCCCUCGUUAAAUCAGGAGGGUUGCGUGCAGGCUACAAGGAGAGAGAGCGUGGAGAAACGUCGUGUGGAAAGAGGGUCGAAAGGGGUGGCAGGCCCUCGAAAUCCGCACGAUAAUUCCGCCCAUUCCGGAUUCGGCCCCUCUGACUAAAUCCUUUUCCGAUUCUCAAUGCUACUUAUCCUUCGUUGCAGAGUCACUGACGAGAGAGAGAGAGGGAGAGAGAGAAAGAGGAAAAAAAGGGGGCGCGGUUCCGAGGGGUUGAAACGCGUCGACCCCGACUAAGCUCUCAGUUGAAAAUUUCUCGCGAAAAUACCAUAGGAAGGGAAGAAAAAGAGGCAGAGAAAAAGUCCAGCCGAUAUUCGAUACUUUUUUCCCCCUGGAGUUCAGCAGCCUUCGUGAGCUAAGACCAUAAAGAUAUAAAGAUAAAGUACACGAGUCAUACGUUAUCGUGUAAGUGGAUGCGAUAUGGGAACAGAAAGAGAACGUUGCAUAGAGGUCCCACGUGUCCUUGUCUAAUCAGACAUGCACACUAUUGCACACUGACUUUCGUUGAUCGUUGUUGCUCAACAUGUUACUGUACAAAAUGUACACGCGUUGGGUGUUAGACGAGGACACAGGGUACCUUUAUACAACGUUCUCUUUCUGUUCCUAUUUUUCAGCUUUUUCAGUUCGCUCACCGACUCUAUCUUUAUAUCUCUAUGGCCAGGACAGAGGAUUGCUGUACAGAGGUCGUUUAACGUUUCAUAUUUUGUAGCUGGUUCGAUUGUUACGCUGGAUCGAUAUGGACAGAAUUGUGUGUAAGAUUUUCGAGCAGAUUAGAGAGGCAGACGGAUGUUUGUUUGGAGAUAGUAUAGAUUGUGUGUUUAAGAGGGAUGAGGUUGUCUGGCGUGUCUAAGCGUUGUGUAAUUUAUUUCUCUAAUUGUUCUUCGAUAGCGUCGAUCUCAAAUAGAAUCUUCUCCUACGGAAAGAGAUUUCCCUAAAUUUCGUAGCUGCCUUUGUCGUUUUACAGCGAAGAUAAUUGAUCAACGUUAGGUAUGAUUGAAAAAUUUCCCAAGUUGCUAAACUUUUACUGUUUCCUGCCGGAUUAGUAGAAGAUUCCAAGUGUCUGAGGGUUUUAAAUUUAAGAUAAUCUGUGAAAAUAAAACGCGUAUUGUUAAAAGAUGUUUACAAGUCGUCGAAACCCCAAUGUACCAUAUCGCGUAAGAAAAAGAUCCAAAGCGUUUUCAGUUUAUAAUUAAAAAUCAUCUAUCGAUAUUGUAAAAGAAUUUGUCAAAUUCUACGAAACAACGAUAAACAAGUCCUCGAAACUCGUUAGAUAUCUUUUGAAUUAUUUAAAAAUUACUAAAGGCAAAUAUUAUUAAGAUAUUUGCCAAAUUCUUUGAGAGGCAGAAUGAAAGUGUCUCAAGCUCGCAAUUAAAAAUACCUUAGCAAAGUCAACUAUUAUUAAAACAAAUCUCUGAGAUUGCCCAAAAUUCUAGUGUUCCAUAUGACGUUAAAGAUUCUAAGCGUCUUCAGCCCAUCGCUGCAAGUAGUUGGUCGAGGGAGGGUGGACCUUGUAUUGAUUCACAACUUCGCCCCUCCUGUCUCUUUUGGUAUCCCGUAGAGAAACGGGAGGCGGACGAACGAGAGGGAAUAAGGGUGCAAGUGGUAAGGGAAGACGGCCGUCAGCCCCUAAACAUUGGCGUGGGAUGUCGAACUAUCGCAUAAAUUAGUCUGCAACCCAUUUUGUAGCUGGCAAUUGUAUCUUAUUCCUACGUCUUCUUUCUUUUUCUCUACCCUUUUCCCUCCUUCUUUUUCAUCUUUUUUACUCACUUUCUCACCUUUUUUUUCUUCUUUUCAGUUGGCACUUUUUACUCUGAACGCAAGAACGGUAAAAGUUGUGGGGAGAAGUUCUGAAAUGUAUGUCGAGAGGCAUAAGAAUGGGAAGUUCUCUGCGUCGACGAAGAUACAGCGGUUGGCGUAGGAUUCUCUUUUACAUUUGAUAUUUCAUGAUUUUAUGAUAUUUCAUGACGUUAUUAAUGUUACUCUUUAAUUUAAUUUUAUUAAGUUCCACGUGCUUUCAAGUGAAUAUUUCUUAUAGGUGUUGGAAUCGUAUAUUGUAUUUGUAUAUAUAUAUAUAUAUAUAUAUAUAUAUAUAUAUAUAUAUUUAUUUAUUUAUUUAUUUUCUAUCCAUAUGUUAUAUGUUAUAGCUUUUGGAUACAAUCAAAAUCGUAUUAAACCCUAAAGGUAAAACCUAGGACACCUACAGCCUAUAAAUAGGUAGCUAACCGUUGAUAAAAAUAUUCUUCUACCUGUUAAAAUUAUAUUAUCAUUUUAAAGGAGAUUAUUAAUGUUGCACGCUCUUUGAUUUAAUUUUAUAAUUUUGAUACUGAUUCGAAUCUUUCAUAGUUCUUAAAAUAAUACUAGUAUUAUUGCGAUUUGAAAUGUUCCUUUUAUUUCUGUGUGCUAUUGUUUUUCUUAUUACGUAUAUUGACACAUGUACACUUUCAUCUUUAGUUUACUAGCUAGUAGAGUAAGUAGUUUUACUAUUUGAUGUUAUUUUUCUCUGAGUAUUCUUCACUUUUCUUUAAUAACAUUCCUGUAGACACAAACAGAUCCAAAACUAAAAUUUCAUUAUCUGUAUAAUUUAGUCAAUUUUAUAAUUGAUUGAUUUUCCAACGUUUUCGAUCCAUUGAAAACUUCUCAAAGCCUGUGGAUAAUCACAAUAGGAUGGUCGUUUCUUACUUUCACUAUGGUUUACGUAAUAAGACGAAAAGGUUAACGUUCAGUGAAGACGAGGAUAGAAGCUAGAAAUACCAGCAACGAUGUUCUUUCGCGAUUAACAUCCUGUCGCCAGGAAUUUCUACCUUUUCUUCUAUCAUAUUGGCCGCUAUUAUGUCAUAUUACAUAUUUUACCAUUAUCUUUCACUGUCGUAUGAUUACCAAUUAUUAUUAUUAUUAAACCUAGACUAAUUUUAUUGAACAAAUAAAUCCCUUAAAUAAAUUCCCCUUAAUGUGAAAAACUGUCUAUCAUAAUCUUUCGAAAUCUCUUCGUAACCGUGAAAAUAUGUAACGAUAAACUGUGUAAAGAAAUUAAAAGGCAAAAUGAACUUGCAAAUUUCUCCGCAAUACUUUUAAAUUUCGUUCGAUUAAUUAACUAAUUGCAAGUACUUGUAUUAAUUCUUUCCAGGUCUGAUUAACAUGCAUCGAUAAAUUGUGCAAUUGAAAGAUCACAGCACGUGUUCCACGAUAAUAAAAUAGCUGGACAUAAAGUUACGUGCAAUUGUUGGAAUCUCGGAGACGUGGAAAACGACAUACGAAAGAAAUGACGUCUCUAUGGACGUCUUUAUGUGUUAAAUAAAUAUUUUCACGAUUUCUUAUCGUAGAUCUAACCACUUUUCGUAUCAAAAACUCGUUCGAGAGACAAGUAGAGUUAGAUAAUCGCUUUCAACUUUUCCAUUGAGGAUUCGAUUAUCGUUUCCUCCGAUGGAAAUUUGCAUUGGCCGCGAGACAGAUCUAUUACAAUAUUACACGGAUAAGCGUGAUCUAUCCUCGUCCAUUUCGCUGACCCAGGCAAAGAAAAGACACGUUUCAGUGUCCUUGCAUUCUGUUCAGCUUCACGAUCCGGCUGACACGUCCGUCUUCCAUUACGAUAAGAAAAAUAUAUGGCCCGGACCGCGGAUACAUCGGCGAUUUAUUUCGCGAAAUAAGCAGAAAACCGCCCACCUCGUUCCUCGUAGAAUCUCCUCUCCGAUCGGCCGACAUUCUCUGUGUUAUCAAAUUUAAUGUCCUUAGUUUUAGGUCGAUUUUCCGUCUAAGAUUAGAUGUUAAUAUUAUGUUCUCUUCGAUAUUAUUUUCGAAUGAAUAUCCUUUCUCUUUAUUUAGGAUUUAAAUGGAACGUAUUAAUUAAGUUGCUUUAUUGCUGUUAGUUUUCAAGAAAUAGCCAUUCCAAGGAUUAUUGUGUGCUGUCGCAGAAAUCGCCAAAUACGUCUAAGAAAAUUGCCUUUUAAUUUUGCUUUUCAAUGGUCGAUAGGCUUAUCUGUAUAUCAAUUAAGUUAUAGCAUCGCUGUUAAUUUUCAGACAGUAGCCACUCGCGGAAAGAAAUCUCAAAAAAUAUAGUGAAAUAAAAUCAGCUCCUAAUCAGUCUUUUGAAAGUUUGACAGGUAUAUCACAAUUAAUACGAAUAUAUUAAUAUAUUUAUCAUUGGAUUCUCCAUUUAGUUUCCUUUAGUAUAGUUAUAUUAUUUGUCCAUCUUAAACCUACUUUUGUCUAUUAAAAGUUCCCCAAUAUGAUAAGGAAAAUUUUACAUAGCUGUAGUAUCUGAAAUUUAAUAAAUAUAAUUUCCAUUCUUUUCUCAUCGUUCUUUACUUUUCGCGUCAUUAUUAUUAUUAUUGCACGAUCUAGCCUCGCGUCUCAACUUUCACGAUUUUAACGAUUACUUUCAAUGCAAAGUUUAACGAUUUCCUUUUUCAAUUGGAUUUUUUUUCGCAAACGACGUCAACCGAUAAAUUUCAAUCAUCGAUUUGAUAGAGCCGCAGCGCACAGGCCUCGAGAUACGCAACGUUUACGCGCCCAACUCCCAAUUUUAAUGGAAACCGAUGAUUACGUUCGAUGAUUAAAUUAAUGAUUCAGCCGCGUUUCAACGUUUAAUCUUGUAACAGCAAUUCCACCAGACUUCCACGCUACUGAUAAUCUAGCCAAUACUGUUAGUAUAAUUCCACGAGUUAUCUCUGCAAAAUGUACCUUUUAUUUCUUCGAUGAUUUGUCGAGUCGCGAAUUUUCAUCAAUUUCGUCAAUCAAUAGUAACUAAACGUGUAUUGCUACCUACCAGCUACUAAUUUCUCGUUUAUGCUUUAAUAUUCUCUAUAUUAGAUAAUGUACAUACAAUUAUUCUAAUUGAAACGAAUUUAAUACCUCUGCUUGAUUAUAACUGCCAAAUGAAAUUCUAGUACAUAUCGAAAUUGAUAAUUCGAGCAUCGUUAAUUUCAUUAUUACAAUGAAUUUAUUAUUAAUUUGUACGCCCAGCUGAUAUUACACCUAAUUGUCUAUUUUUCGGUUUGAUAUGCUAUUAUACUGUAUAACAUAUUGUCUCGUUAAAUUCAGAUCUUCCCUCUUUUAGUGUAUUAUUUUAAAUAUAUUUGCUAAAAAUAGAAGAAUAAUUAUCAAUUAAAAGAUAGAUUCUCUAUUUCUACUUUAUGUACUCUUCUCUCAGUAUUCAAAUUAGCAAAUACUAUUUUCUAAUAGUUUUUAAUUUCGAUAGACAAUCACAACUUAAAAGUCGUAUUAAAUGUUCCAGUUACCUUUUCCUAUUCUCUGAACCAGCCUACAAUACAAGAGACGUAGUGAAGGUAUUCAGACUGUUACUUGGACACAGAAGACUAACGCGGAAAUUUUUGCUACGAAGAGAAACAGCAGAGCGUGAACCUUGCGACCUAUCGCUCACAGUUCAACGCGUAAUUCUGAAAUGCAGCAAAUUAGAUGAACCACGGAACAGAUUCAAGAUCCCCAAGGAACUCAAGGAAGCAUUCAGUACGGAACAAAGCAGAGAAAUCCUCCUGGAAUUCAUAAAAUCAAUAGACAUAUAGGACAAGAUCUGCAGACAAGAAAUACCGUCGCUAAUGACCGUGUUGUCGACACGAUGUUAAAGAAUGGAAGAAGAAGAGGAAGAGGAAGAAGAAGAAGAAGAAGAAGAAGAGUUAUUUUUUCACGUAGUUCUUUUAAAAUCUGAUUUUAUCAGCAAAGAAGAGUAAAGCUAAUACUUGUUUCUUUCUUAUAAAAAUAUAGUACCAAAUGUCAGUAUUGCGAUCACUGCUUUUUUAAUGUUCAAUAUUGAAAAUUUUCCAUAACGUUAGAAAUGUAAAAUCAUUUCUCCUCGCGAUCAUCGACUUUGUAAGAAUGACGUUCCAGAGACAAAAUGGUAUUCCGCGUUUGGCUUCUUUCCUCUAUUACAUUUUUCCUGAUAUUCCUAACUCGUUUAUUAUCUGAGCUUGUAACGAGCAAAAGCCUAACGUAAUAACAAUAAUAACAUCGCAAGUGCAUCUAACGUCGCCUAUCAAAUUUCAAAUCCUUAUCAAGUAAAGGAUAAGAGAUAAUUUUAUAUCGAAUUAAUCUGAAACGAAAGAGACAUCGUUUGUGUUUUACGUACAUAAAAUACAUUUCUUUGUACAUGUUUCACUACAACUUCGAUGAGUUGCGGAUUUCUGUCAAUGCUUCCUUUCAAAAUAUUACAGGUAGACGACACUACAAACCAGACGAUAAUAGGAGCAUUUACCCUCAUCAAUAAGUAACAUCGAGCAAAUAAAUAUGCAUCUCGACAAGUUUCAACAAAGGAUCCUCUCUUCAAGUUCCACAAAACUUCUCCCAAUUUAGCCAGACGAGGCAGAGCCAUCCGAAAACAUUCGUCUGCCUGACUCUGAACGCACUUUUCCAAUUGCGGAACAAAGGGAAGGAAUUGUCUGCCGGCGAAAGUCCUGCGAGGAGGAGCAAUUAUCGCAACGUAUUCCAGACACUAUCGUUCUCAUCUUUUUAACGGGGCCAGACACGAAACGAAGCCAAGGGAACCUUAGCCAAGAAGACGAUGCUUUAUACGUUGACUAGCCGAGCCAGGAUCCGGUUUAUAGCUCACGAGAAGUCUUCGUUGUAUUCUUAAAACUGUUCCAAAGGAACGCAAAUGUAUGCAUGCGGGAAGUUUGUCGCGCGAAUAAAGCGAUUCCACCCUGCCAAGGGAUGAGGACGGGGGUGAAAAAAAUGGCCGUGGACGGGGAAAAGUUUUAAAAGUGAACGGAAGGCGGAGGGCGUGGGGGAAAAAUUGAGUUUCUACCGCGCAGACGGCGAAAAAACUUCCUGCAGACUGAACAGGAUUUCGACGCGGAAAGGAAACAGAGACGGAGAAUGGCUCGCUGAAUUCGAGAUGCGGGACGUGGCAGCCAAGCGAAACAUAAAAAAAAAUGGGCAACCUUCGAUGCAUCGUCUUAUGAUACAUCUUGCACGCACGGUGGUUUGCAAGAAACUACGAUACAAGGAAAACGUGAAAAGUGGAACGUGAAACAUGUCUACAUACAAAAAAAAAAAAAAAAAAAUAUCAUACAAAAAUACAAAAAUCGCGUGAAUCCAUUCGUUAAAAACUGCUACCAAGUGCAACUGCUAUUGUGCUAAAACUCUAACAAACGUACCAAGAAGACUCGAGAGAGAACACUGCUCCGAUUUACCCAGACUCAUACACUAACUACGUGCACACGUACGACAGAAAUAGAAUAGUUGCAGUGACUGCUGGUAAUCGAGGAAUUAUUUGAAAAAUAAUAUCCGCUGGUAUCGUGUUUCACAGACAUUCAAUGAUGAAACUUCCUUUCGUUUAUAAAUUGUCGCGAUAUUUAACAUUUUACCGAUCGCUAGCGAUUCAACAGCAUA